rnacentral:tRNA from 1 species
GCCCGGAUGGCUCAGUCGGUAGAGCAUCAGAAUUUUAAGACAUAUCAAGGUAUCUGAGGGUCAAGGGUUUCAGUCCCUGUUCUGGCU